rnacentral:rRNA from 1 species
GGAUGCCCUGGCAGUCAGAGGCGAUGAAGGACGUGCUAAUCUGCGAUAAGCGUCGGUAAGGUGAUAUGAACCGUUAUAACCGGCGAUUUCCGAAUGGGGAAACCCAGUGUGUUUCGACACACUAUCAUUAACUGAAUCCAUAGGUUAAUGAGGCGAACCGGGGGAACUGAAACAUCUAAGUACCCCGAGGAAAAGAAAUCAACCGAGAUUCCCCCAGUAGCGGCGAGCGAACGGGGAGCAGCCCAGAGCCUGAAUCAGUGUGUGUGUUAGUGGAAGCGUCUGGAAAGGCGCGCGAUACAGGGUGACAGCCCCGUACACAAAAAUGCACAUGCUGUGAGCUCGAUGAGUAGGGCGGGACACGUGGUAUCCUGUCUGAAUAUGGGGGGACCAUCCUCCAAGGCUAAAUACUCCUGACUGACCGAUAGUGAACCAGUACCGUGAGGGAAAGGCGAAAAGAACCCCGGCGAGGGGAGUGAAAAAGAACCUGAAACCGUGUACGUACAAGCAGUGGGAGCCUCUUUAUGGGGUGACUGCGUACCUUUUGUAUAAUGGGUCAGCGACUUAUAUUCUGUAGCAAGGUUAACCGAAUAGGGGAGCCGAAGGGAAACCGAGUCUUAACUGGGCGUUAAGUUGCAGGGUAUAGACCCGAAACCCGGUGAUCUAGCCAUGGGCAGGUUGAAGGUUGGGUAACACUAACUGGAGGACCGAACCGACUAAUGUUGAAAAAUUAGCGGAUGACUUGUGGCUGGGGGUGAAAGGCCAAUCAAACCGGGAGAUAGCUGGUUCUCCCCGAAAGCUAUUUAGGUAGCGCCUCGUGAAUUCAUCUCCGGGGGUAGAGCACUGUUUCGGCAAGGGGGUCAUCCCGACUUACCAACCCGAUGCAAACUGCGAAUACCGGAGAAUGUUAUCACGGGAGACACACGGCGGGUGCUAACGUCCGUCGUGAAGAGGGAAACAACCCAGACCGCCAGCUAAGGUCCCAAAGUCAUGGUUAAGUGGGAAACGAUGUGGGAAGGCCCAGACAGCCAGGAUGUUGGCUUAGAAGCAGCCAUCAUUUAAAGAAAGCGUAAUAGCUCACUGGUCGAGUCGGCCUGCGCGGAAGAUGUAACGGGGCUAAACCAUGCACCGAAGCUGCGGCAGCGACGCUUAUGCGUUGUUGGGUAGGGGAGCGUUCUGUAAGCCUGUGAAGGUGUGCUGUGAGGCAUGCUGGAGGUAUCAGAAGUGCGAAUGCUGACAUAAGUAACGAUAAAGCGGGUGAAAAGCCCGCUCGCCGGAAGACCAAGGGUUCCUGUCCAACGUUAAUCGGGGCAGGGUGAGUCGACCCCUAAGGCGAGGCCGAAAGGCGUAGUCGAUGGGAAACAGGUUAAUAUUCCUGUACUUGGUGUUACUGCGAAGGGGGGACGGAGAAGGCUAUGUUGGCCGGGCGACGGUUGUCCCGGUUUAAGCGUGUAGGCUGGUUUUCCAGGCAAAUCCGGAAAAUCAAGGCUGAGGCGUGAUGACGAGGCACUACGGUGCUGAAGCAACAAAUGCCCUGCUUCCAGGAAAAGCCUCUAAGCAUCAGGUAACAUCAAAUCGUACCCCAAACCGACACAGGUGGUCAGGUAGAGAAUACCAAGGCGCUUGAGAGAACUCGGGUGAAGGAACUAGGCAAAAUGGUGCCGUAACUUCGGGAGAAGGCACGCUGAUAUGUAGGUGAAGCGACUUGCUCGUGGAGCUGAAAUCAGUCGAAGAUACCAGCUGGCUGCAACUGUUUAUUAAAAACACAGCACUGUGCAAACACGAAAGUGGACGUAUACGGUGUGACGCCUGCCCGGUGCCGGAAGGUUAAUUGAUGGGGUUAGCGCAAGCGAAGCUCUUGAUCGAAGCCCCGGUAAACGGCGGCCGUAACUAUAACGGUCCUAAGGUAGCGAAAUUCCUUGUCGGGUAAGUUCCGACCUGCACGAAUGGCGUAAUGAUGGCCAGGCUGUCUCCACCCGAGACUCAGUGAAAUUGAACUCGCUGUGAAGAUGCAGUGUACCCGCGGCAAGACGGAAAGACCCCGUGAACCUUUACUAUAGCUUGACACUGAACAUUGAGCCUUGAUGUGUAGGAUAGGUGGGAGGCUUUGAAGUGUGGACGCCAGUCUGCAUGGAGCCGACCUUGAAAUACCACCCUUUAAUGUUUGAUGUUCUAACGUUGACCCGUAAUCCGGGUUGCGGACAGUGUCUGGUGGGUAGUUUGACUGGGGCGGUCUCCUCCUAAAGAGUAACGGAGGAGCACGAAGGUUGGCUAAUCCUGGUCGGACAUCAGGAGGUUAGUGCAAUGGCAUAAGCCAGCUUGACUGCGAGCGUGACGGCGCGAGCAGGUGCGAAAGCAGGUCAUAGUGAUCCGGUGGUUCUGAAUGGAAGGGCCAUCGCUCAACGGAUAAAAGGUACUCCGGGGAUAACAGGCUGAUACCGCCCAAGAGUUCAUAUCGACGGCGGUGUUUGGCACCUCGAUGUCGGCUCAUCACAUCCUGGGGCUGAAGUAGGUCCCAAGGGUAUGGCUGUUCGCCAUUUAAAGUGGUACGCGAGCUGGGUUUAGAACGUCGUGAGACAGUUCGGUCCCUAUCUGCCGUGGGCGCUGGAGAACUGAGGGGGGCUGCUCCUAGUACGAGAGGACCGGAGUGGACGCAUCACUGGUGUUCGGGUUGUCAUGCCAAUGGCACUGCCCGGUAGCUAAAUGCGGAAGAGAUAAGUGCUGAAAGCAUCUAAGCACGAAACUUGCCCCGAGAUGAGUUCUCCCUGACUCCUUGA